UACAGAGGUCCCAAGCGUUGUUCGGAUUCAUUGGGCGUAAAGGGUGCGUAGGCGGCGCGGUAAGUCGGGUGUGAAAUCUCCGAGCUUAACUCGGAAACUGCAUCGGAUACUGCCUUGCUCGAGGGUUGGAGGGGGGACUGGAAUACUUGGUGUAGCAGUGAAAUGCGUAGAUAUCAAGUGGAACACCAGUGGCGAAGGCGAGUCCCUGGACAACUCCUGACACUGAGGCACGAAAGCUAGGGGAGCAAACAGG
rnacentral:rRNA from 1 species